rnacentral:rRNA from 1 species
UACGUAGGGACCGAGCGUUGUCCGGAAUCAUUGGGCGUAAAGAGCGCGUAGGCGGCUUGCUAAGUCUUGCGUGAAAUCUCGGGGCUCAACCCCGAGCGGUCGUGGGAAACUGGCAGGCUAGAGUGCGGGAGAGGAGAAUGGAAUUCCUGGUGUAGCGGUGAAAUGCGCAGAUAUCAGGAAGAACACCCGUGGCGAAGGCGGUUCUCUGGAACGCAACUGACGCUGAGACGCGAAAGCGUGGGGAGCGAACAGG